CGGACGGGUGAGUAAUGCUUGGGAAUCUGGCUUAUGGAGGGGGGUAACUACGGGAAACUGUAGCUAAUACCGCGUAAAAUCUUUGGAUUAAAGGGUGGGACUUUCGGGCCACCUGCCAUAAGAUGAGCUCAAGUGGGAUUAGGUAGUUGGUUAGGUAAAGGCUGACCAAGCCGACGAUCUCUAGCUGGUCUGAGAGGAUGACCAGCCACACUGGAACUGAGACACGGUCCAG
rnacentral:rRNA from 1 species